rnacentral:lncRNA from 1 species
AUGAGGUGAUCGACUAGAUGUCGAUAUUUGUGAUAUUGUUCGGAUCACAUGAUGUUGUUCAGAUCACGUGCUUUGAACCAUCAGGUCAUGUGUCAAGUGUCUACUACAUUUUCGAAAAUUGGACACUUCAGCAGAGGACCAAAUAUGGUAUAACACUUUGCCUCCCACUUUUCAGUGCGAAGUACUUCACACUGGAAAGUAGAUCUUCC